GUUUUAUAAAAAACAAAACUCCCCUCACUAUCUUCUUUGGCUUCUCGCCUCUUUCUCUGCCUCUUUUCUUAUGAGAUAUGUUGUCGCCUUGGACUAAUCCAAGCCUUUGAUUUCUAUUGCUAUGGAUUAUCAACAGUCCAGAACUUCUAUUCUUUCGUGUUGGUGUGCCAGCUAACAAGAUUGUGUCUGCUCUCAGGUUAUAUGGAUUGUGCUCCUAAUUUGCUGACAAAUCUUAUCUAUUGAAGAGAUUCUUCUUCACUUUGGCAAGCCAGAGGCAGAAGCAUUACACACAUUUAUUACAGGUACUUUUCUCAAGUGUGACUAGAUGACCACUAUUUUAUUAGAUCCCGCCUCUGCUUUUUCUUAUGUGUCUGUUAAAUUUGCGGUUAAAAUAGACACGGGUCUAUGAUUUCCUUGAUACCCAUGUUUAUGUGUCUACCAUAGUAGGUAACUCUAUCUUUGUAGAUAAAGUGUACCAUUAUUGUCCUGUGAUGUUUAUAGGUUAUUUAGCUAGGGAAAAUUCAGUAAUCCUUAAUAUGGUGAAUUUGAUAUCAUCAUAGAGAUGAGUUGGGUAUCUUCUUAUCAUGAAAUUUUGUAUUGUCGUGUAAAAACAGUGAUUGUAGCUAUGUCGUGGAUAGCUAGAAUUGAGUGAAAAAUUACUAUAAUCUUGUUUAUGUGAACAUGUUGGAGGGUCGGUACCAUACUUGAACGGUACAUAGAUGAAGCCCGUAUAUAUUAUGAUAGCACAUAUAUAAUUCAACAUCCAAAUCAAUUCAAAUUAAACUAAAUUUGAAACAUAUAGGCUAUAUAUCAUAAAUUAAAAAAUAAAACUCAAAUCAUGUUAUGAUGAAUACACUUAAGGGUAUCUUACAUGUUGAUCCACACGUGAGUAGGAAAUUGAUUGCAAAUACCAACCCAUAGAUUAUAGGCAUUAGUUCAAGUUCUUGACCUUAAGUCAACAACUCGGCCUAAUGACUAGGAUCUGCAUGUUCAUAUUUGCGAUCAAUUUAUUACUCAGUUGCGGGGGGUCAACAAGUAAGAUACCCUUGGGAGCGUUCUUAUAAAAUGAUUUGUGUUUGUCCUUUAAUUUAUGAUAUACUGCACAUAUGUUCGAAAUUUAGUUUAUUGAGAAUGUCACACUAACACUAUAUUUUUUAGGCUAUCAACACAUGCUUAGUAUAGACGAUACUACAAGUAACUAGUCUCGUGUUAGUGCUGAAAAAUCUCUGUAUUAUUAGUGUAUAUAAACUGAAAUUUCAUUUAUUCGAUAAUCAAUACCAGUUGAUCCUAUACAUGUGAUCGAACACAAUAAUUGGUACACUAGAAGAGUGUCCUUCUCGAUCCUCUACUACUAGGAAAAGGUCCUCUCAAUGAUCUAAUACCCGCACUGGAUGUAAAAUAAAAAAAAAUUGCAAUAGCUUGACAUCCAUUGCCCAAUAUGGAUUACUCAACCUCUUAUUCUAUAUACAAAAAUCAGAUUGUCCCGUAUCUAUUAUGAUAACACAUAUAUAAUUUAACAUCUAAAUUUAUUCUAAUUAAACUAAAUUUAAAACAUAUACAGUUAUAUCAUACAUUAAUAAAUAAACCUCAAUCAUUUUAUGGUGACAACACCCAAGGGUAUCCUACAUGUAGAUCCACCAGCAUAUGAGUAGGCAAUUGAUCGGAAAUACCAACUGGUACAUUGUAGGCAUUAGUUCAAGUUCUUGACUUAAGCCAAAUACUCGGCCUAAUCAUUAGAAUCUGCAUGUUCAUAUUUGCGAUCAAUUUCUUACACAGUUGCGGGGGGUCAACACGUAGGAUACCCUUGGGAGCGUCCUCAUUAUAUGAUUUGCGUUUGUUUUUAAAUUAUGAUAUACUGCACAUAUGUUCCAAAUUUAUUUUAUUUAGAAUGUCACACUAACACUAUAUUUUUUAGGUUAUCAAUACAUGCUUAGUAUAGAAGAAACUACAUGUAAUUAAUCUCGUGUUAGUGCUGAAAAAUCUGUGUUAUUUGUGUAUAUAAAUUAAAAUUUCAUUCAUUUCAUAACCAAUACCUAGUUGAACCUAUACAUAUGAUCGAAAAUGAUAAUUGAUACAUUAUAGGAGUGUCCUUCUUGAUCUUAUAGUAAUAUGAAAAGGUCCUCUCAAUAUUCUAAUACUCGGCACUGGAUGUAGAAAAACAAAUGCAAUAACUUGACAUCCAUUGGCCAAUAUAGACCUUUACUCUACCUUUUAUUGUAUAUACAAAAAUCAGAUUGUCCUGUUUAUAUUAUGAUAGCACAUAUAUAAUUUAACAUCCAAAUAUAUUUUAAUUAGACUAAAUUUGAAACAUAUACGCUAUAUGUCAUAAAUUAAAAAAUAAACCUCAAUCAUUUUAUAAUAACAACAUUUCCGAGGGAAUCCUUAAGUUCAUCCCCGCAGGUGAGUAGGCAAUUGAUCGCACAUAUCAACCGGUUGAUGUAGGCAUUAGUUCAAUUUCUUGACUUAGGUCAAAAACUCGGCCUAAUGACUAGAAUCUGCAUGUUCAUAUUUGCGAUCAAUUUCCUACACAGUUGCAGGGGGGUCAACAAGUAGGGUAUCCUUGGGAGUGUCAUCAUAACGUGAUUUUCGUUUGCUCUUUAAUUUAUGAUAUAUUGCACAUAUGUUCCAAACUUUAGUUUAUUUAGAAUGUCACACUAACACUUUAUUUUUAGGUUAUCAACACAUGCUUAGUAUAGACGAUAGUGCAUGAAAUUAAUCUUGUGUUAGUGCUGAAAAACCUCUAUGUUAUAUUUGUAUACAGAUUGAAUUUUCAUUUAUUGUAUAACCAGUGCCAAGUUGAUUCUAUACAUGUGAUCGAACACGAUAAUUGGUACACUGGGGGAGUGUCCUUUACAAUUCUUUAAUACUAGAAAAAAGUCCCCUCAAUGUUCUAAUACCCUCACUGAACCAAUCGGUUGAAGAGGCUACUUGGGAUACCGAAGCAGACAUGUGCAAGAAGUAUUCCUAAUUAUUCAUCGAUUCAUUAUUUAUCGUGAGUCUUCUAUUUUUCCUUCUUUUUUCAUUUAGAAAUAAACUUAUGUUUAACUAGCAUCUAAUAUAACAACUCAUUUCAUCAUUAUGAUAAUUUAAACGGGAUAUACCUAGACCUUUCGAAUUAUUUAGGGACAUAUUUAAUCAUUUUCCCAUAAAUCAAUAACCGAUGGUUGUGAUAGUUAUAGAGUUGCUUUGACAGGGACCUAAAUAUUUCUUAAAAAAUGAACUCCAAAAGGCCAUUGAAAAAUUGGUACACCAAAUCAAAGUUGAUGUGAAGCAAAACAGAACAAUUUUUACCUCUUAUAUGAUUAUGAAUCGUGACUAUAGUUUAAUGAAAUUUGCUAUUAAAUUCGAGAUUCAUUAGAUUUAUUUGUAUUAAAAAUAAAAAAGACUUUCUUUAUGAUUUGCAUACCUUUUUAUACAAAUCACAUUUAUCUUUCCUCAUUUUUCUCCAGAUUUGAAUUUUGAAUGCUCUUUUUCUCCCUCCUAAUCGUGACAUCUCAAUUCUAAUUAACCGCCUAGACGUGUUUCAACAAACUUCUUAAUUUUAUUUUUCAUUUGUAUAUGAAGAAUCUCAAGUAUUUAUAAAUAUCAAUUUGUUUAUAUUUCAGUAUUUGUAUACGUUUUGAUAGUUUUGUUGUCAUAUUAUACAUAUCUAUAUUUAUUUUUAUAUACACAGACAUCCAUUUCUAUUUUCUGGUACGUAGUUCUAUGUGUUUAUUUAUUUAUUUUUGGUUGUACUUUUUAUUUCUAAUUAUUCCCCAAAAUACCUUAUACAAACCAAAUAUAUAAUUUCAGCAUUUAUAUACAAUUAUAGGGGUGAACAUUUGGUAUUCGGUUCGAUUUCAGUUUUUUUUUCGGUUUUUCAAUUUUUGGUUCUUGUAAAUUGUGUGCCGAAUACCAAACUGAAAUAUUUCAGUUCGGUUCGGUUUUUGUUAUUUCGAUUAGGUUUUUAUUAAUUCGGUUUGGUUUUUUUAUUUUGGUUUUUAAUUCACAAUAAAUUCACACUAACUUGUAACAAAAACAAAAAUAAAAAAUGAAAGAAGUCAAGAACAAAAUGAAAGAAGUCAAGAACAAAGAAGAAAAUUAGAAAAACAAACCUGACUAGGCUGGCUACCGGACGCCGGUCGCCGGUUGAAGACGAAGUGGAUGCAGGCGGCGGCUGAUGGUGGCGGCUGUUGCUGCUGCUGGCGUCUGGCAGGCUGCUUCCUGAAAUAGGAAGAGGAAGAGGUGUUGCCUCCAAGAGAAAGAGGAAUAAGGACAUUACUUUACAUACUUUUUUCUUUUUUUAAAAGAUUAUUUAACAUUAAUAAUUAUUAAUUAAUAUAAUAUAAAUUAUAGUAUAAUAUUUUGAUUUAAACCGAAAUACUAAAAAAUAAAAUAAUACGUACCGAAAAAUGAACCGAAAUACCAAAAAAUAUAAAAAAAAAUAAAUUGAAUACCGAAAUACCAAAAUCGAAAUUUUGAAAAACUUCGAUUUGAUUCGGUAUUUCAGUUUUCCGAUGUUUAUGCCCACCCCUAUACAAUUACUUAUUUAUCUAUAUUAAUAGCUCGUAUACAUUACAUACAAUUGUAUAUAAAGUCCUCAAUUAGCUCUAAAAAGAAAAAUCUAUUAUCAUUAAAUCUUAUAUUAUUUUACAUAUAUAUGGAUCAUUAUUUACCAUAUACAAUUAUGAAAAAUACAGAUAUAUUAUGCAUAAAAAAAGUUAUUCUAUUAUACAAUAGGCACUAUUGCCUUAUAAAAUAAAAUUAUUAAGAGAGAAUGAAAGGAGUAGUAAUUAAAUUAAGAUCAUUCUUUCUUUUGACCGUUAAUACUUCUGUGCCAAAUGAUUCAAAUUAACUCCACGAGGAACCUCCCAAUCAAAGUGAUAAAAUUAAUGCUGUUAAUAUAAGCUAGCCAACUCUUAUCUGGGUUAACCAAUAUAAACUUUAAAAUUUUACGAGUUAGGCUGGGCAAGACUAUUUUUGGCAAGAAAACGGUCACUACAAGAAAAGUAUGAAUUACAUGGAGAUUUUCCUAGGGAUUAGUAUGAAAAUCUGCAAGUAACUUAUUUUCCUGCAAAUCAAUAUAUAUAUAUAAAUGAGGACCAUUGAGGAGGUGAUGUGGCACCUCUAUAUGGCCUCCAUUUGCAUUUAGCUUUUUCCAUCUUUUUUUUUAAAAAAUAAUUAUUAUAUAUCAUAAAAAGUUAUUUAAAUUUAUUACAAAUAAAUAUUUUAUUAAUGGUGGGUCAUUUAUAACAAAAACUCUUCCUAUUUUUUAUUUAUUUAUUUCACUUAUAAUUAAAAGAGAAACAUAAUUUAUUUAUUUUUAACUUUUCUAAUUUAAAUUAAUUAUUUUAUUAUAAAAAUAUAUUACUUCAUUUAUACAAAUAUACAAAUAAAUACUUUAUUAAUG
rnacentral:lncRNA from 1 species